UACGUAGGGUGCGAGCGUUGUCCGGAAUUAUUGGGCGUAAAGGGCUCGUAGGCGGUUUGUCGCGUCGGGAGUGAAAACAUCUGGCUUAACUGGGUGCUUGCUUUCGAUACGGGCAGACUAGAGGUAUGCAGGGGAGAACGGAAUUCCUGGUGUAGCGGUGAAAUGCGCAGAUAUCAGGAGGAACACCGGUGGCGAAGGCGGUUCUCUGGGACGGUACUGACGCUGAGACGCGAAAGCGUGGGGAGCGAACAGG
rnacentral:rRNA from 1 species